rnacentral:rRNA from 1 species
GUCCUUUGAUAUUAAUUUAAGGUCUAACCUGCCCACUGAAAUUUAAAUGGCCGCAGUAAUUUGACUGUGCAAAGGUAGCAUAAUCAUUAGUUUUUUAAUUAAAAGCUUGUAUGAAGGGUUGGACGAGGUAAAAUCUGUCUCUAUUUAAUUUAUUAUAGAAUUUAAUUUUUAAGUUAAAAAGCUUAAAUAUUUUUAAAAGACGAGAAGACCCUAUAGAUCUUUAUAUUAUUAAUUUUAAUUUUAAUUUAGAAUAUUUUAUUUUUUAGUUUUAAUAUUAUUUUAUUGGGGUAAUAAAAAGAUUUAAUUAAUUCUUUUUUUAUUUAAACAUUUAUGAAUGAAUAUAUGAUCCAAUUAUUUUGAUUAUAAGAUUAAGUUACCUUAGGGAUAACAGCGUAAUUUUUUUAGAGAGUUCAUAUCGAUAAAAAAGUUUGCGACCUCGAUGUUGGAUUAAAAAUUAUCUUAGGUGCAGAAGUUUAAGAUUUUGGUCUGUUCGACCAUUAAAUUUUU